rnacentral:rRNA from 1 species
GACGAACGCUGGCGGCGUGCUUAACACAUGCAAGUCGAGCGGUAAGGCCUUUCGGGGUACACGAGCGGCGAACGGGUGAGUAACACGUGGGUGAUCUGCCCUGCACUUCGGGAUAAGCCUGGGAAACUGGGUCUAAUACCGGAUAUGACCUCCUAUCGCAUGGUGGGUGGUGGAAAGAUUUAUCGGUGCAGGAUGGGCCCGCGGCCUAUCAGCUUGUUGGUGGGGGAAUGGCCUACCAAGGCGAGACGGGUAGCCGACCUGAGAGGGUGACCGGCCACACUGGGACUGAGACACGGCCCAGACUCCUACGGGAGGCAGCAGUGGGGAAUAUUGCACAAUGGGCGAAAGCCUGAUGCAGCGACGCCGCGUGAGGGAUGACGGCCUUCGGGUUGUAAACCUCUUUCAGCAGGGACGAAGCGCAAGUGACGGUACCUGCAGAAGAAGCACCGGCUAACUACGUG